UAUUUUGCCUAGAUACCCUAAAUGUACCAGAUCCCAUCUGAUCUUGGAAGCUAAGUUGGGUCAGCUGUGGUUAGCACUUGGAUGAGAAACCACCAAGGAAUACCCAGUGCUAUAGUCC
rnacentral:rRNA from 1 species